CCUGAAGGAAAGAAGGCUGCAAGUCUUUAAGAUGGCAGAGGGAGGACAACAAAAUUGAGAAGCGUGCUCGUUUCGUGCUUUCACACUCCGUUCCCAGUCCUGCCGCCGCCUACACUGGAGCGAGGCGAGGGAGGCAGGACUGCGAGCGAAAGAGGGAGGAGAGGUCGGCUCCGAGGCCGCUGAUUGGCGGAGGAGACUGGCUGCUGGAAACAGCGAGGUGCACUCCGUACUCAGAAUCCAUUUAAAAAGCUCGAGAUACCGACUGCACUUCGCCCAGGCUUAGGAAGGGUAAAUAUUAGUCACAGGACCCGAAAGCUUAGCUGGUGGUUUAGGGCUUGCGGGGGAGAGGCUGAAACAGUAACUUUUAUUGAUAUGCUGCUGGGGAGGAAAUAAUUCGGGAUCCGUUCCGUAUUGCUGUGAGGAACUUGCAGGUGCCUGGGGUUUUCCCUGCCUUCUCCACAGACAGGACCCUUGCAGGUGUACUGCUGCGGGACACGAUGCAGAUACCCUAUGGAAUUGCAAUUCUGCUGCAACAGUGACUGCAAGAACCGGCUGCUCCAUACAGGAUCAGAGCCAGGGCACCUGGAGCAGAAAAAGCUGUCACUGGAGAAGGGGGUACCAGUACAGCUCAUUAUAUUGCAUGGGCCACCAAGUAGCCACUGAACAUGCACAGGGGAAAGGAUGUUUCUUACCGCUACCAGUGCAGAACACCAGGCCUCCAGCAGCAGCAACCAGUGGGAAACAUGUGUUCCUACGUGGGGUUGCUGCCUUUUAAAUAUCCCUGGGCUCCUGUGACUCUCAGAAGCACAUGACAGACAGAAAUGCAGCAGGGGCAGUAGCACCCUUGAUGCAGAUGCACUGAGCUGCACUUGUUGCUCUACUGCCCGUCGUGUCACACAGAGUGGCAGGAGUCCUAUAGCCAGUAGCAACCCCACGUUGCUAGGAUGCUCUCAGUACUCCCUUCAACGCUGAAACUGUUCAAUAAAAGCUUGUGCCAGUGUCUGCUGUGUUUUUGUCCUGUUGAUGGCUGUCCAGCGUCUUCACUGUGGGAAACUCGCAAUAGGAGGAGGAGGGCACUGGGCUUUCCAUCAUCACAGCCCUUCUAGGCUGACUGACUGUGCGGGAAUCAGAUCCACACCUCUCCUUUUACACUGCAUUGCUCUGUCCUACUGCAUUGCUAAGUGGCUGGAUGUGUUUCCUUCCGUGAGCUUGCUUUUGUAAUGUGUACUCUUCCCUGUCCAAGUGGCUCUCUCCCACUCCCCCUGGCUAAAUGGUUGUUCCCUAAACAUAGACACCAACAUAUACUUAUUGUGUGAAAUGUUACAAAAAGCAUCUGUGCACAUUCUCAGAGCUAGCCCACCCGUGAGGUUGGGUGAGGUGUCUGCUGCAGGUGUCACUCUCCUGGAGCGGUGGCAUCCUGUUUGGCUGCCCAGAGUUACUGCUGAUUCCCCCAGCCUUUGGGGGCAGAGAGGGACUGGUGACAAAGCUAUGCAGAAUGCCUCUCCU